rnacentral:rRNA from 1 species
CCUACGGGAGGCUGCAGUGGGGAAUAUUGGACAAUGGGGGCAACCCUGAUCCAGCCAUGCCGCGUGUGUGAAGAAGGCCCUCGGGUUGUAAAGCACUUUCAGUGAGGAAGAACGCCUGGUGGUUAAUACCCAGCAGGAAAGACAUCACUCACAGAAGAAGCACCGGCUAACUCCGUGCCAGCAGCCGCGGUAAUACGGAGGGUGCGAGCGUUAAUCGGAAUUACUGGGCGUAAAGCGCGCGUAGGUGGCUUGAUAAGCCGGUUGUGAAAGCCCCGGGCUCAACCUGGGAACGGCAUCCGGAACUGUCAAGCUAGAGUGCAGGAGAGGAAGGUAGAAUUCCCGGUGUAGCGGUGAAAUGCGUAGAGAUCGGGAGGAAUACCAGUGGCGAAGGCGGCCUUCUGGACUGACACUGACACUGAGGUGCGAAAGCGUGGGUAGCAAACAGGAUUAGAUACCCGGGUAGUC